rnacentral:lncRNA from 1 species
CGGAAAAGUUAGGGCUUACAGAUUAACUCUGUCAUGAGAAAGCAUUUCAUUUCUUGUAGAAUACUUCCCAUCAACCAGAUCAUUACAAAAAUUAGCAUAAAAUUUCACCUAUUUAAGAAUCAGGCAGUGCAAACUACACAAUACUAAAUAUGAACUUCAGUUUAGCGGCGGUGGUUGUUGUUGUUGUUGUUUUAUAAAUAUCACCAGACACACAUCUGCGGUUUUAGUGCUUGCCACAGUGCAGUUUUCUGGUUGACAUAUAUCUAAGAAAUGUGCGUAUUAACACCCAGGCUCUAGAGCCAAGCACAUUUUAGUGCCGGCUACAGCUGAAAGAAUAUGUUUCCAUUCCUUGUCCAUCUGUUCUCAGCAACAUAAAUUUAAGCUAGAAACACAGAAUAAGUUUCAUGAGAAAUAAGUCUAAAUAUGGCUUAGAAAAGCAAGGUGAAUGCUUUAAGUUAUUAUGACUUGUUAACAUUUCAUUUGGUAGCUAGAUGGUUGUGUUUAUAUGAAGAAAACUAACACUGCAGCUAGACCUUAAAGUUUAAAAAAUAAUAGUUUUUUAAAAUGAGUUCACUUGAAAAAAUGCAGUGGCUUGGUCACACUUUCUCUUUUCAGGGCUUUAAUUUACUACAGAUCAUGGGCCUAACAAACUUUGAGAUUUCAAAGUGCAGUUCACCACACACUUGAACUACCCUGAAAAUAUAUCAUUUAACCUCUCUGAGCUUCAUGCUAAAAUGGAUUCAUUAGUGGAAAAUGAGGGUUUUCUAUACAAAAUGAAGUACAUAACAACACGCAUAUGCUUGUUUUCCCUGGAGGCGUCUCUCAGCUAUAACCAGCUAUUACAUGGGAUCAUGUACAACGAUCAUACCCACCCUGUGCCGCUACAUACCACCUCUCUAGCCUACUUACUUACUUAUUUAUUAUUUAUUUAAUAAACCAGCUUCAUUCACUUUAUUUUCCUCAUAUGCAACUAUGUGGUGACCACAACUGGAGCCUGGGUCUGGUGCACAGACACACUGGCGUGGGUCUUUACAAGAAGGCCAGUGAAUUCCUGACAAGGAGACUUGGUGAGCACUGUCUUUCCCCAGAGAUAAGGAGUGAGAUAACUGUAAGUCUUGGAAAUAGCAUCAAAGGUGGCCUUGGUGAAGUUGCCCAGGGUGGCAAGGCAGUCCCUGACAGAGGUGGACAGAGGUGUUGCAGUCGUCAGUUCUGGCCAUCACCAGUAGCUUCUUGAGCACAGGGGCUAUGAUGAUGCCAGUGCCCCUGGGGGCAGGGAUGAGGUGCACCAGUCCUGAGCCACAGCAGCCAAUCACUUUGCAAGGGGCCACAGGGGGCUUGCUGAUCUUGUUCGCCCAGUAGCCUCACUGCAGGGGAACAAUGUAGAGCUUGGCCAGAAUGAUGGCUCCACGUAUAGCAGUGGCUGUCAUCUUAGAGCACUUGACACUGAAACUGACACAUCCAUUAUAGUCCCUAGUGGUGACAAGUGCCUUGAACCUGGUCCAUUGACCAGCACAGGUCUGCUUUUGCAAAGGCAUGAUCUUCAAAACCUGCCCUUGAGGGAUGCCCCUGGAAAAAGGCAGUGAUCUUAGAUUCUUUGAUGGGCAGAGAUAAGAGAUCUCCUCCAGGGACUUCAUGUCUUUGACCAGGCCACCCAGCUAGGUGAGAAGAAGCCACUCCUUGUCCUCCACCUUCCCUCCACAGCCUCAGUCCCAGCUCGGCCCUGGCCUAACCAUGGCUGAGACCCCUGCCCCUGACGCCACUGCCAAACCCCCUCUGUGCUUCUCAUUUCAGGGCCCCAAACCUCCACCUCCCCACCGCCCCUCUGCAGCACCUCAUCAUCAGCCAUAUGGUGUUGUCACAGAGAGGAGCUCUAGCCUACCUGUAAAAAGUGUUUAGUAGUAAAUACUUUAAAAAUAUCAAGUAAUUUAUUUACAUUUGAAAAUACAUGAAUUACAUGAAAGUAUCACUACAGAAAGGGACCAUACAUGUGCACCUAAAAUUUUACCUUCAAAGCAAGAGUUCAGGUAUUUAAGCUUCAAGACUGUGCUCCAAGACUGGGUCCUGUAGAAUUUUCUGAUGUGAGGGCGUCCUCUGCUUUCAAGCCACAUGAAAAUCUUCAGUUCGGAGAGGGACCUUGCGGCUCACACAUACCACUCUUGCUCCCUAUACAAGAAAUGCUUCUGUAAUUUUGUUUUAAAUAUCUCUUUUUGCUGUGGUUGAUUUAUCAAAUAUAGCAUGUAGUUAUGCCUCAGAGUAGUUGGAUUCAAAUUUUGGCUCUGUCACUUCCUAUAUAUGUGAAUAGGGAUAAAUUAGUUAACUUCUCCAUUUUUCAGCUCUGUAAAUUCUAAUAAUUAUUUUUGUCUUAAAUUGGCUCGGGGUGGGGAGCUGGGUAGCAAAGGAGGUGAUAUAGAGAAUGAAUAGUCCAGUGACAGAUACUGAGGAAACACCCAGCAAGCAAUACCUAAAACUGUUAGCCUCUUUUUACUGUCUUCUGUUAAAAAAUAUAAUGACUGUAAUGUGCUAAUUAGCCUAAUCUACUCUCAGGUGGACUUUGGUAACAUAUUCCUUAUCAUCAGAAAAGCAUUUCUGGAAACUAAUAUGGUUUCUCGAACUUCACAGAUUUACCUAUGACUGUGGACAAGUCACUCCGUGAUUCGGGGAUUCAAGUCUUCUGAUCUUUAAAAUGAGAAAUUUAAAUCUGUAACCUCUAAGGUCUUUGUCCAAGUAAUUUAAAAAAAUCAUGUUUGACAGCAUAUCCUCAUACUUUAUUUAUAGUACUGAAGUGUGUAUUUGCUGCCAAAUGUCUGAUGUGGGGGUGUAUAAAUGUUCCAUAUAUACUUGUGGAAUAGCAUCACAUUUGUGGAUGAUAAAAACUACUGGUAUAUUUUUUGGCAUUUUUUGGCUAAGAAUCCAUUCUUCCCAUUUGAUUUUAGAAAAAGCUGACAACACAUCUUUUCCCAGAGCACCUCAAGGUUUAGUCAAACUGAGUGUGUCGGAAAUAGGCCACCUUUUGUUACUUUUAAUAGAGAAUCCUAGUCAGAGAAACUUUCUCUGCGAAGUAACUUUUAUUUUUCAUUUCCAUAAUUUUAGGCUGUGCAGUAGGCAUAUGCACUGGAACUGACAAGGCUUCUGUUUUCUUUCAGAUCUGAGUGAUCAGCUGCUGGAGGUGGUUGGCUUGGAAGGAGCCAUGGAGAUGGGGCAAAUAUACACAGGCUUGAAAAGUGCUGGGCGGCGGCUGGCUCAGUGCUCCUCUGUGGUUAUCAGGUAGCUCCCUUCUCUAUACAGACUCUGAUAAUAAUGUUUGUUUUAUCUGUACGUCAUUAUCAAUUUCUUUUUUUAAUGAUUUUUAUUUUUUUCCUUAUAGUUGGUUUACAGUGUUCUGUCAAUUUCUACUGCACAGAAAAGUGACCCAGUUACACAUAUGUAUACAUUCUUUUUCUCACAUUAUUCUCCAUCAUGUUCCUUCAUAAGUGACUAGAUAUAGUUCCCUGUGCUAUACAGAAGGAUCUCAUUGCUUAUCCACUCCACAUGCAGUAGUUUGCAUCUCCUAACCCCAGAACAAAUAAUGGAAAUUGGCAGAAUUUACAAAGUUUUCAUUCACUGUUACUUGCAAGUUCACUGGAAUUUGAUUCUUUUUUGUUGAGACCAUGCAUGCAAUUCUAACAUACAAAUUUUUCCCCCUCUAAUCUAGUUCACACUCAGUUUAGUUUACAGAGGGAAGUAUCUACCAGGCCAAAUACCCAAUGAAAACACUGUUGAAGGACCAUUAACUUAUAUUUUUUCAUGAACUAAAGUCCACCACUGUUUCUAGAAAAGUAAAUAAUGACUUAUUAUAAAGUAAGAUUUUAUAUGUGUAUUAUAUUUAAAUUUGUUUAAAAAACAGUAUUCACAAAUUUACCUACAGAUAAAAUAGAUCUAUUUUGACCUUAAAAUGAAACCACAGGCUACAGCACAGAUAUGAUUGGUGUUAUUUAUAUGUACGAAAGUGUUGAUGCUAGAAAAUCUGCGACGUCAAACACUUUUCUCCAGGUUUGCAAUGUGGGUUUGCAUGAAAUCAAGGAGGCCCUUUUGACUAUAGGAAUUCUGAUCGUGUCAUUAGGCAUAAAGCCAGCAUUUGUUUUUUGGCAUCCAGGAUUUUUUAUCACCACAUUUACCAGGAAGCUCUUAACGGUCCUGUAAUUAAGGUACCUUUCAGGUAUUCAUUAAUAGUGAAGAGUUCAAGUUCCUUUUCAGAAGAUAUAAUUUUAGAACAGAGCCUAGCUAUUACCAUAUAUGCAUUCCCUGGUCUCAUCAUCUUAUAUGGGACUUACAGCCUGUUGUAUAAAGCUGUGUUAAACUUUGAAAUAUUUUUCCCCAGGACUAGCAAGUCUCUGCCAAUGCAGAUCGAUGGGGAACCGUGGAUGCAGACCCCAUGCACAAUAAAAAUUAUACACAAGAAUCAAGCCCCAAUGCUGAUGGGCCCUCCUCCAAAAACGGGGUUGUUCUGCUCUCUCGUCAAAAGAACAAGAAACCGAAGCAAGGAAUAAUCCUGUAUCAUUUCAUUCUUAGAGAUCUAAUUAGCAUAAUUGGGCCAUGGAACACUUAUGCUGGAAAUCUUUCAACUAUUUCAAGUCUUCUGCUCAUGCAAAAUCAUGGAAUUGGUUUAACAGUUUUUGUUACCAAGCUAAUGUAAAAUCCAGCUAUAAGAAAAUUUAUUGUCUCAGUCUUCAAUAGGCAUCUCUGCAUGAAGAAAGCAGAAGUUUACAUGAAGUGAUACUGCAUAUUUUUGUUGCAUGCAUUCCCAUAGAUUUUUAUGUUCCCUACCCAUUAUUUCCCCAACUUACAUUUACUAACCUGUAAGAAAAAUCUGUACAACAUAAAAAAAAGGAAAUACCAUGGGAAAUGUGAUUCCCAUUAUUAAUAAGCACUAAUUAAUAAUGCUACAAUGAUCAUAAAUACGGAUUGCUACACUUUUCCCACUUAGAAUCGAACAAUAUAUCAAUGAUCUCUGACCUUUGACUUGAGGAGAAACUUGUAAUUGAAAGAUUUUAUUAAAUAGUUGUCUACUUGCUGUAUCUAAAUAGUUUUUCUUCAACAUCUUAAUGCUUCUGAGUGGAAUUUAAAAUAUCAGGUAUAAAGUUUCUUGUGAUAAAAAAUAGGAAGUGGUUUUUAUUUUGUUUAGUUCUGUUUUUAAUUCCAGACAUAAGUGAAAACAUGUUACUUGGCAGCAAAGUGUGUUAAUAUGGCAAGCCUUAUUCCUUCCUGCAUGUGAAUCUAGAAAAAAAUUCUUAAUCACAACAGUAACCAAAUAGAUGUUUGAAACUAUGUGCCUAACAAACUGUGUUUCCCACCAAAGAUUCAGAAAAAAAAAAAAAAAAAGAUGCUUGAGAGAAAUGGGCUAAUGCGUAAUUAAGUAAGCAUUGUGGAGAAAAUUUAUGGUUUUCAUGAUUAAUUUGGGGGAUGACUAAAACUCUGGAAGAGAAUGAAUUACACAUUAACUAUUAAUUAAAAUUCCUACCUUUCGCAGACAAUAAGCCAUACAACACAAUCCAAGCUCAAUAGCUGAUUUCUUCCUUUUUUGGUUAUUAAUAAAUAUGUGUGUGAUUUUUAACAGAUCAGUUAAAUACACUUGAGAAAGUAAAUGAUUGUAUCAGUUCCGUUCUAGUAUAAAUUGAUACCUGUAAUAAUAUGGAGCGCACUGAAGCCAAUCAUGCAUGUAAUUAGUGCCCUCUCCCUCACCUACUCCACUACCCACUCUGUGACAUUUCAAAUAUUUAUUUGGAAAUAAUGGCCUGGAUUGUUAAGUUUUUCAUGACAUAAUUAGUUUCUCUGAUUGUUUGAAGAAAUCAUUGAAUAGUAUUUUUUAAAUGUUUCAUUAAGCCUAUGAUGUGAAAUGAAAUGCUAUUCUGGGCAGUCUUGAUAUUGUUCAUUCAUAAUGACCUGCAUCUCAUCAUUGCAUGUUUUAUGUUUUCAGACAUGCCAUAAGGAAAACGAGUGCUUGAAAUGCAUGAUUUAUUAGUUUAUCUCUCCACUCUGCAUUAAACUACUCAUGAUUUAUCAGUUCUAUUUUUCUAUUGAUUCAUUUAUCUUUGAAUAACAAAUAGCAUUUAGUGAUUCUGUUGAACAUAAUCCUGUGCAUGGAUUUAUGGAUUUCCAGUGAAGUCGCUAUAAUUUUAGUUCUUUGAUUUGUAAACUCAGCUCACUGUGGUUAUAUCAAAUAGCUACUCUCAAGCAGUGUGCUAUAAUGGAAGAUUAUGUAUAAAGCGUAUUUUUUUAGUGUUCCAGGAACAUCGGAUGGUAAAUAUCAAUCAACAAUAAGUUUAAUUGCUUUGAAAAUAAAAGCUUUUGAAUAAAUUAGGACAUAAUUUAGCAUUCUCGGGAAAAUUAUCAUUACAAUUGCAAAUGUAGCACAGCAAUCACUUGCCCCAGUAUAAUAAAGAAGUUAUUUGGCAGAGCAGUAAUCUAGACCAAAAGAAAUCUCAAGGUAGUAACAACUGCAUUACUGACAUAAUGUUACAUAACACACACAUUGAUUUUGUGUAUCUAUGGUUACAGGUAAUAAAUAUUUUUACAUAAAUUGACAAAAUUUUCUAUGAUGGGCAGGCAGGCUUUGUGUCAAAAACAUAUUCUGAAGCCACAAAUUAUUUUGUGCUCAUUACAACAUACAAUUAUUUCUUGGCUAGCUUUUAUGGUAUAUAGUUUGAAGGCAGCAACAGUUUGUGAAUCAAUCUGUGCAGUGAAAAGCUGUUGAAUAGACAGUGAGAUGAGAGAAAUCAAACAACCUGCCUAUAAGACUUCAGUAAUUGAGAUAAUGGGAUGUAGCUUUACUUCAGUGUAGCGAUAUAGCGAUAAUUAGUGAUAAUCGUAGUUAGAUUUUCAGUUAGUAGGAUUCACUGGUACCAAUAAUAAAUGUUCAAAUAGGAAUCAAAUCUACUUUCCCCCACUCAUUUUCUAAAGAUACUGACUAGUUUGCCCUUCAAGUACACUACCCUUGGGACUUGGAAAGUAGUUUUAAAAACUUCCUUUGAUAUCAGAGGAGGUAUUCACCCCAUUUUAAUGACAGCUACAAGUGAAAAAAAUAUAUUUUAAGAAAAAUUUCAAACUGAAAGCUCUAUGGUAGAUAGAAAUAUUAAAUACCAAAUGUUAACUUUGUAAUCUGGAAACUCUUCUUAUGUGUGUAUGGGGAGUGUUUGUGUUCUGGAGCAACCUCUUUUCAGUAUAGUUGCAUAAAGGUUUAAGUGGAUGAAGCUCUUAGGUAAAAAUUAAACUGAGAUUGUAAGGGUCAGAGGUAAAGGGGAAAAGAGAUAGCACUUUGCUAAACAUUGUCAUACACUGAGUGGAUAAAUAGAGAUAGAUUCCAAAGGAAACCUGGAUAACCGUGCUUCUAACAGAAGAGGAGAUGUGUGUGAAGAUCCAAGAAUUUUAAAGGUCAUAACCACUUACAUGCAUAUACCAUGUGUCUCUGAUGCUAAGAGUGCUGGUCAGUUUAUUGUGGAAGAAGAACAUAUUUUGUAGAAAAUGAAGAAAAUAGAAUUUUUAAGCAGUUUUCUUUUUUAAAGAUUACGUGAUUAUAGCCAGGAUAAAGCAAAAUACUCAGAUAUUUAGUGUAUUCUACUGUAGGGGAAAAUUUAUAUCCAAUGAGAAUAAAUGAAUGGCAUAUAUACUUUUGCAUUUUGUUCUUUUUUCCUCAUUUCAGGGGAUGGGAAGCAAUUGCAGUUUUCAAGGAAGAAUCUUUUUUGAAUCUCAGACUGCAUUCUAUUUGAAUGAGACAAAACUUUUAAAUGGCCACAUUCCUUUUUUGUGUCAGGUAAUUCACUUUUAAUUGGUAAUAAAAAGGAAAAUGUACCUUUCUUGACACAUAUAACCCCCAAAGAGCUAUUCAAAUACAGUAUAUAUACUCUAAAUUAAAAUAUUAAGCUCUUGUAAUAUAUAUUGAGAAUGUAAAAUUUAAAUAAACUAAUAAAAACUUGCAAAGGAGCUUUUAUUUUGUGAAAUGUAGAAAUUACCCCUUCAAUCUCUUACUUUAAGUGUAUUCUGUUUAAAUAAAAUUUGAAUAA